rnacentral:lncRNA from 1 species
AAAGGGUUUGAGAAAAAUAACUUCAGGAUAAAUGAAACAUAGUUUGACCUAAAAUACAAUGUUUUUCUACUUUGAGCAUUUUUAUUCAUAUUUAAUUUACUAGAAAGUAAAUCUGAAGGAAUUAUCAAAACAGCUGAAAUGUAUUUCAUUUUGAAAAAAGCAGAAGUGAAACAAUUCAUUUCCUUGAAAAAGCUUUUUAUUUUUUUCUGAAUAGACAAUUCAAACUCAGCAUCAAUUCACAAAAUGUUUCAGUAUUACUGAAGCUACAUGAGUUAGUAAAAGAAGUUUCUGCCAGAAAUAAUUCUCUUGGCUGUUCAUGUAAAUUGCUUUCCAGGUGGGAAGAAGAGGAGAGAGGGUAGAAGGGGGAUGCAAAUAGUCCAAAAGUAGAUAGUACUGGCAGGCCCUGUUAUCCACCUUCUCUGGUGAGGGUCCUUAGGGGCCCAGGCCUUGGUUUUGGCAGGACUCUUAGGGAAAAUGAAUCUGCCUGGGGCUCCCAGCCUGUAUGGUGCACAGAUGGAGGUGUCCUGAGCCGAUGCAAGAAAGUCAAAACCUCUUGUUCUGAAAAGUCUUUAAUCUGGUGGGAAAGAGACCUCCAUAUGGAUACUGAAUGGCACCUGAGAUGCAGCCCUGACUCAGGACAAACUCCAGAGAGCAGAACCUCCCCUCCUGUUUCUUCUCGGUCAGCUCCUGAUGCACCAGCCUCUCUCCACUGACAGUGGAGGGACUGAGGGUCUUGAGUCAGUGCUCUGCACGAUUCUGCUAGGACAGUGUAACUACUGCCUUGGUACUGCACCCAAAGUACAGCUCUGAUGAAACCCUUCAACUUCACCCCAAAUUUCUAGACCACUUUGCAUUUGAUUUUCAAUCCAUGCUUUAGCCUGUUUCUGCCUCUUAUGUUUUUGAUUUUCCUAAAAGUCAUAUUUGCUCUCUUUGCAAGGCCAUUGCCAAAGAGCUAUUUGAUGCUGCUAAUACAGGGGGGCAAAAACAUUCCUCCCCCCCCCCAAAAAAAGAGAUUCCCACAUUCUUAAGGGCAGAAUAUCUCAUCUCUAAAACCUUAUCUGCCCAUGAACUGAAUAGCCUUGAAGAGUGUUAACCAUCUUAAUGUGGAAAUGCUUAUUUCUGGAAAGAAGAACUUGUCUUCAGAGGCACCUUCAUGCUAAUAUGAUGGAAACCAUAAGGGUGUGUGUGGUAUAAAUGAACCAGUAAGAAUAAAGCCUUACCUCGCUACA